CUAAUUUACAUAAUAAUCUACCAAUAUCUAAUAACGAUAACUUAUUGAGAUAUACUAGAGAGAUGUGUCAAAAUAUGUACUACUUUCAACCGUUAAUUGUAAAAAAUGUUACUUCCCAACAAGGUACUAUUACUACCACUACUACUACUACUACUACUAAAACUACUACUACUACUAAAACUACUACUACUACCCUUAGAACUACUACCACUAGUAGUAAAAGUAGUAGUGAUAGUGGUAGCCAUGCUCAUAACACAAUGGUAUGUUCUCAAGCUAAUGAUUCUACUGAGCAUGUAAAUAAUUAUUUAUCAACAUAUGUGUAUGACAAUAAUAAUAUUAAUAUGAUUGAUAUGAUGGGUAUUUAUGUAUCACAAAAUGGUAUGCAUAUUGAUCAACAUGAAAAUACAUAUCCAGGAAUACAUAUACAAUAUCCAUAUAGUAUAUCAAAUGUAGAUACAAAUGACAAUAGUGUUGUAAAUAAAGGAAAUUCCACACAAGAUUAUUAUAAUAAUAUAAAUUAUAAUAAUACAAGUAAUGAUUCUAAUGAUAAUAAUUUUUUAAAUAAUAAAUAUAGAUAUAAUAACUAUUGUGAAUUAAGAGAUAUGAAUGAAAUAACUAAUGAUGGAACUGAUGAUAAUGUUAAUGAUAAUGUAUGUAGUACUGAUUCAUUUUUUAAAAACAACAGCUGUGAUUUGAAUAAUGGAAAUGAUGUUGAAGCUAUUCAUACUAUUCCUACAAAUUUUUUUAAUGAAGUAACUGAAUGUGAAAAAAUAAGUAGUACAGAAACAGAAUGCACCAAUUUUAAUAACUCUAAAAUUGAUUCUAAUAAUGUAGAGAAUUUUAAUUUGAAUCAGUCUAUGAAAUUUCAGAAUAAUAAUAAACAAGAAGAUUCGAAACAAUUUCAAGAUAUAUGUACAACCAAUGAAAAAGAACAUGAAUCGUAUACUGAACCAACAUAUUUAAAUUAUAAAUAUGAUGAUAAAGAAAUUACAAAAAAUUGUGACAACGUAAAUAUGAACGAGAAUAACUAUUAUACUAAUGUCAAUAAUGAUGGCUAUGAUAAUGAUGGUAAAAAAAGAAAUUAUGUAAUAUGUAACGUGUUAAAUCCGAGUAAUAGUGAUGAUAAAUUGUUUUAUACUUUCACUAAAGUUAUAAACGGCACGAAUGAUGAUUAUAUAAGUAGCUGUAAUGGAAGUCCUUAUACAGGUAGCAAUAUGGGCUGUAAUGAUAGUGGUAAUGGUAGUAAUUAUGGUAGUAAUAGUAGUAGUUAUGGUAGUAGCAGUAUAAGUUAUAAUGAUGGAAGUAUUGUUAACUUAAACAAAACCUAC
rnacentral:lncRNA from 1 species